rnacentral:rRNA from 1 species
CCUACGGGUGGCAGCAGUGGGGAAUAUUGCACAAUGGGCGAAACCCUGAUGCAGCGACGCCGCGUGAGUGAGGAAGUAUUUCGGUAUGUAAAGCUCUAUCAGCAGGGAAGAAAAUGACGGUACCUGACUAAGAAUCCCCGGCUAACUACGUGCCAGCAGCCGCGGUACUACGUAGGGGGCAAGCGUUAUCCGGAUUUACUGGGUGUAAAGGGAGCGUAGGCGGCUAAUCAAGUCAGAAGUGAAAACCCAGGGCUCAACCUUGGGAGUGCUUUUGAAACUGAGUAGCUUGAGUGCAGGUGAGGUAGGCGGAAUUCCUAGUGUAGCGGUGAAAUGCGUAGAUAUUAGGAGGAACACCAGUGGCGAAGGCGGCUUACUGGACUGUAACUGACGUUGAGGCUCGAAAGCGUGGGGAGCAAACAGGAUUAGAUACCCGUGUAGUC